rnacentral:rRNA from 1 species
AAGAUUAUGGCGUGAGCCUGAUUGGAACGACAUCUAGUGCAGAUCUUGGUGGUAGUAGCAAAUAGCAAUUGGAACGUGGCGGCCGAAGUGGAGAAGGGUUCCCUGAGAACAGCAAUUGAUCAGGGGGUUACGCGGUCCUAAGUUCCUGGUUAAACCUAAUAUAAGGUGCUCUCCAGCACAGAACGAAAGGGAAUCAGGUUGAAAUUCCUGACGCUGGGUGAGAUUCGUGGCAACACAAACUAGCUUAGAAACGCCAGCAAGUGUUCUUGGAAGAGUUUUCUUUUCUUCUUGACAAAUAAAUGGCCUUGGAAUUGGAUUAACCAGAGAUAAGGCUAUAAGUUUGGCAGAGCAUCUCGCUUUUUUGUAGAUGUCAGGUGCACUCUUGAUGGUCCAUGAAAAUACUAAGCCAGAUCAAUCUCAUCCAGUCCGUACCCAUAACCGCAUCAGGUCUCCAAGGUUAGCAGCCUCUGGUCGAUAGAAUAAUGUAGAUAAGGG